rnacentral:misc_RNA from 1 species
AUUUGAUUUUUCCGUCUCUAUUGGAUCGGUUUCGCUUCUGAUACUCUGAAGCAAAAUCAAAGUCCAUUUGGUUUCCGAUUAUGUGGAAGAAAAUCAAAGAAAUUAGUGCAUGAACUCUGUAUGGAGAGGGGCAUCUCUUGGAUAACACAAGUUAAAUUGAUAAGUUUUUGUUAAUACAUAUUAUAAUUUACGACUUAAAGCUUCAAAAAAUCUGUUUGUUAGCUGAUGGUGAUGCAUGAUAUUCUCCAUAUUUUUGCAAUUUCCUUUUGAAUGGUGAUUGCUGAUAAUGAAUCGAUGUGUCCAAAUUAAUUG